GACGGAAGGUGCAAGCGUUGCUCGGAAUCACUGGGCGUAAAGGGUGCGUAGGCGGCUUCUUAAGUCUGGUGUGAAAGCCCAGGGCUCAGCUCUGGAAGUGCACUAGAUACUGGGAAGCUUGAGUACCGGAGGGGAGAGUGGAAUUCCUGGUGUAGCGGUGAAAUGCGUAGAUAUCAGGAGGAAUACCGGUGGCGAAAGCGGACUCUCUGG
rnacentral:rRNA from 1 species